GUGGUUUAAUUCGAUGCAACGCGAAGAACCUUACCUACUCUUGACAUCCAGACAACUUACCAGUAGAUGCUUUGGUGCCUUCGGGAACUCUGAGUACAGGUGCUGCAUGGCUGUCGUCAGCUCGUGUUGUGAAAUGUUGGGUUAAGUCCCGCAACGAGCGCAACCCUUAUCCUUUGUUGCCAGCGGUUAGGCCGGGAACUCAAAGGAGACUGCCAGUGAUAAACUGGAGGAAGGUGGGGAUGACGUCAAGUCAUCAUGGCCCUUACGAGUAGGGCUACACACGUGCUACAAUGGCGCAUACAAAGAGAAGCGACCUCGCGAGAGCAAGCGGACCUCAUAAAGUGCGUCGUAGUCCGGAUUGGAGUCUGCAACUCGACUCCAUGAAGUCGGAAUCGCUAGUAAUCGUGGAUCAGAAUGCCACGGUGAAUACGUUCCCGGGCCUUGUACACACCGCCCGUCACACCAUGGGAGUGGGUUGCAAAAGAAGUAGGUAGCUUAACCUUCGGGAGGGCGCUUACCACUUUGUGAUUCAUGACUGGGGUGAAGUCGUAACAAGGUAACCGUA
rnacentral:rRNA from 1 species